GGGCGGCCGGGGCCGGCGGGCAGCGGCCGGCUGGUUGUCACGUGGCGGGCCGGCGCUCGGCCGCGGCAGGGAGCGCCGGGCGGCGGCGGCGGGCUGAGGCGGGCGGCCCGGCCGGGGACCGGCGGUUCCCGUCUCCCCGGCAGUGACAGUGGUCAGCGGGCUCCUCACGGUGCUGCCUUUUUUAUUUCUCGGAGCUGCGCUGCUGCCUCAGCGAGGCGGUGAGGAGCGGCGGCGGGGCGGCCCCGGUGCUCUCUUGCGGCGGCGGGGCCCGGGAGGGGGGUUAGCCCGCGGCGCCCUGCCGCCCCGCCGCCGCCUCCGGGUGCCCGGGGAGCCGCUGCAGCCGCCGCAGCUCUGCGCGGGGCUUUGUCUUUCCCGCAGCCGCUGGCUGGGCCGUGGCAGCGGGCUGGGGCCGCAGGGGCUGCCUUGGGGCCUGCGGUAACGCUGUCGCAGGGGGGCGGCUCAGGAGCCUCUUCCCGCCCCUGCGAGCGGGCAAGGGAAAGGAAAGCAAGCCGGCGGCUGGAAAUCCCCACCCCUCGUCCCCGACUGCUGAUUUCUUUAAAAAGUAUUACAAAGGGCAAGCGUUGAACUACCGGGGAGGGUUGGGUGGCAGCAGCUCAGGUGUCUCGCAGAUCCUCCGUCGUGGCAGUCAGCUCCUGGGCUGGAGCAGCCGAGGGGAAGAGGCCUUUGGAUUUGCUUCCGAGUGAAACGGGGCUCUUUGUUUUUUUCUUUGUACCGAGAUUCAUCCGGAAUUGUACGUUGACAAAUCAAGGGGAGCUAAACUAAAGGUCAGUCUAGAUGUUACUUUUCCACGUAUGCCUUGUGCUUGUGAGCCAGACUGCUGACUACGGAGGGAUAAGUUUUGUACUUGCCGAGGGCCCAUGGGGCUCCGUGUGCCCGCUGCUUCCAAGUGCUGUGCUGCCGGGGAGGAAUUGGUGGUCCCUUGUGGUUAUGCAGCCAGGCCUGCUGGGCGCUUAAACCAGCGCAUCCAGUCGGACAGUAUUAUUUUUCUAGAUUGUAAACGAGGCUGAGGUUUAAACCCACUUACAUUUCAGAGAGCUCAAUUGUACUGACAGAGCUGGCACAGAGUUCCCUUGUGACUCCAGAUUUCAGUCUUGUUGAAAGGCUCCAGAGCCUGCUUUGGAAGUCACUUGGCAAGGCACAGCUUUGCCGUGAUCUUUGUAUUUGAAUUCUGACUGUAAUGCCAAUGCCACAUGUUAACCUUUCUCCAGCAGUUAUAAAAGCAGAAUGAGCGUUAAGAAUCUGAUUACCUUUUAACUAAAUUCAAAACAAAGUUGAGGGAUGAAGUGACUGGAAGUCCUGCACAUCUGACUGGGUAUUGCUGCCGUGCAUGUUAUCUGCCUGUCUACCGAUUGUACCUGCCUCUUGUUCUGUUGUGGUAAUUCCUUUGGGUAAUGCGUUGGGCUCUAGAUGUAGUGCAUCUUGACUUCCUCCCGAACCCCCGAGAUGUUACCGGUCUUUGCCUUCCUCACGUUUCACAGGGCGUGGGAAGGCCAGAGAGACUGGAAGCCUCGGCUGUUCUGUGUGGAGAAGCUGUCAGCCUUCUAAGAGAGCAUGUAGCCAGCAAGCGCAUUGUGGUGCUUUGUUACCGAGCUGAUACCACAGGCCUCAGUUUUUUUUUUGUGAAAAGGGAUCACAAGGAAAUGUGCUGAUGUUGAAGGGGGAAAGGUGGCGGGGGAAGAGCUUGCCACAGGCCAUAACACUUGUGUGUUCAUAGACCGCUUUCCUUGCUCGCCACUUGCAGAUUUGAGCACUGAUGCCACGGACGUAACAGGAGAGCAGCAGCAGGAUGCAGAGCACAAGCCGUUUAAACAACUCUUGGAUAAAGCUGCCAGUCGUGUGACUCCAGAAGCCGACAGACACGAGAGCCUUACCCAGAGACUGCCGCCUUAUUUUUUUGACACCAACAUGGUCAUCUAAUUCAAACUUAUGCAGAGCAGAGACCUUCUGACUUCCUACAUCCAGGCUGGUGGCAGCACCUGAACCAGAACAUUGCUUCCAGAAAAACAUCUGAAACCACAAGCGACAAACCUGUUGCAAUCCUUGAUGACUUGUUCCCUCACUACAAGGAACUCCCUUCUGGUUCUGCAUUUGUAGAGCUACAGCUUCAUACCCUGAUGGUCACGUCUUUGCCUAUGGAUUAAAGAAUCUGUUAAAUUUAUGAUUCCCACCUGAGUGCUUAGGGGUUGUGAUCAAAGCACCAUGAAAUUUCCCUUCGAUACAUGGCAUGGAUUGCACUCUUUGACUCUCUCGCUGUCUCUCUCCGAGAUGCUUUCCAAUCUUUCAAUCAUUCCCCUCUCUGAAUCCUCAUCAGUUCCUGAGCCAGCGUGUGUGUGAGACAACAGCUGGUGCAAAGAGGAAGGUUAAGUCCUACACUUCUGAAAAUGUUUCACUUCUUUAUUUUGCUGCCCAAUACCUGCUAGACCUGACAAUUCCGCACAGCUAUGCUGACUACAUGGGUCUGUUGAGGACAUCAGCUUUGCCAGCUGUUCACGGAUUGGACACCCACUCUGCCUCUGCUUCCCGAGCUGUGGGACUGGUGGGCUGGGCUGACAGCCAGCUUGUAACUCCGUCCAUCUUCAUGAGCUCCACUUUCCAGGCAGCUGCUGGGGACCAAGUCCUCUCUCCAGUUCAUCGGUGCAUGGCCACUAAUCCUAAUAUUGCAGCUCCAAAACCAAGAGGAGAAUUAGCUCCCCGGCAAGUUUUAAGAACACAAAACCUGUCCAUCUGUGAUGGAGAUGCACAGCCCAGCCCUGUGCCUUUGGGAACUGGAUCUGCAGCAGAGGUGUAGAGAGCUUUAUAGCAAGUGCUGGGGGCCACGAUGCCUGUGAAGGACCUUGAAGGCUAAAGAAGAAAGAAAGUAAGAUAAGGUUGGCUGAACGCCUGAAGAAAAACGGGAUAUGAAGCAAGGCCGGAGUGGAUGUGCAAUACCACGUCUCGGCUGCUGGCUGAAAACAUAAGACUCACAGAGAUAAGAAAGAAGAGAGGAAAAAAAAUACAAGAAGUUCAGUGCAUUUGUAGCUUAGUAAUUAACCAAUUAUAUGUAGCCAAGAAGUGUGUGAACAGUAUUGAUUAACCAAUGAUGUUUUAAUAUGUUGCAUGUGAACAAUGAAUGAGGAUAUAUAAGCAUGGGGUUUAGACUAAUAAAGGGUCUUCUGGUCGGA